UAGAGUUUGAUCAUGGCUCAGAACGAACGCUGGCGGCGUGCCUAACACAUGCAAGUCGAACGAGAAAGUUUCCUUCGGGAAACCAGUAAAGUGGCGCAAGGGUGAGUAACACGUGAAUAAUCUGCCUAUGAAUUCGGGAUAACUCGACGAAAGUUGUGCUAAUACCGGAUAAGACCACGUCUCUUAUAUGAUGUGGCCAAAGGAGUCUCAAACUCCGUUUAUAGAUGAGUUCGCGCACCAUUAGCUUGUUGGCGGGAUAACAGCCCACCAAGGCUACGAUGGUUAGCCGACCUGAGAGGGUGAUCGGCCACACUGGAACUGAGACACGGUCCAGACUCCUACGGGAGGCAGCAGUGGGGAAUAUUGCGCAAUGGGCGAAAGCCUGACGCAGCAACGCCGUGUGAGGGAUGAAGGCCUUUGGGUCGUAAACCUCUGUCAGAUGGGAAGAAUUAUGACGGUACCAUCAGAGGAAGCCCCGGCUAACUCCGUGCCAGCAGCCGCGGUAAUACGGAGUGGGCAAGCGUUGUUCGGAAUUAUUGGGCGUAAAGAGUAUGUAGGCGGCUGGAUAAGUCAGACGUGUAAGCCCACGGCUCAACCGUGGAAUUGCGUUUGAAACUAUUCAGCUUGAGUGCAGGAGAGGAAAGCGGAAUUCCCAGUGUAGCGGUGAAAUGCAUUGAUAUUGGGAAGAACACCGGUGGCGAAGGCGGCUUUCUGGUCUGCUACUGACGCUGAGAUACGAAAGCCAGGGGAGCAAAGGGGAUUAGAUACCCCCGUAGUCCUGGCCGUAAACGAUGGGCACUAGGUGGAGGAGGUAUCGAUCCCUUCUCUGUCGCAGCUAACGCAUUAAGUGCCCCGCCUGGGGAGUACGGUCGCAAGGCUGAAACU
rnacentral:rRNA from 1 species